AGCAUUUCCCAGCCGUCAGUGGAGCCUUCAUGGACUCUCCAUACAACGGCAGCGCGUCCCUCCAGACCUCCACCUCUAACCUGAACACCAGCAUCUCUCGGCCGGCGGAGCAGGAGGAGGAGGGCAAGUUCUCCAGUGACGCCAUCUGGCUGUGGGUCGCCGUCAUCGCCACCAUCGGGAACAUCGUGGUGGUCGCGGUGGUCUGCGCCUGUGCCUUUUAGACCCCGUAGUGCACAAGAACACAGCCUGAACUCCUGAUCCCCCCUCACUAGCGCAAUUGAAAGAAGCACACAGCAGCCUACUACUAAAGGAUGUCUGAAUGAACGUCUGUGAAGAAUUCGAGUUUUCGAGGACCUCAACAGAAACUCGACAUUCAGUAGUGGACAUCACUGACAUCCAGAAAAUAUCAACACAUCAGUCCAAACACAUGCGCUGUAGGUGAAUUGAACAAACUAAAUUGGCCGAAGUGUAUUUGUGUGUGUGUGAAUGAGUGUUUAUGAGGG
rnacentral:lncRNA from 1 species